UUUCCUUUUGGGAAACGCUUGCGUUCGGCGCACCGAAGCGGUCGACUCCCUCGUUCGUGUACUGCCUAUUGGGCCCACGCACCGCCCACCGCUUAUCACAACCAGUCUUAUCCUUUCUCUCUGAUGCAUCUUCUUCCACACACAUAUAUCUCUCUCUCUCGUCGCUCGCCGCAGCCCCCAAUCAUGUCCGCCGCCCUGUGCUACAACACCUCUGCUCCUCCUUGCCCUUCUUCCACGCACCCGCGGCCAUCGGCUCGACGGCGACCGUCGCCAUGGUGAGCGGAGGAGAGUAAAAAAGCUGCAAGCCGUGAUGCGUCGACGCCGCCGUUGGCCGGAGCGGAAGCACCGACCGGCCGUGCGUGCUGCCAUGGCAGCGGCAACCCGUGCUGCAAACGGGCCGUGGAAGCUGCAACCGGCCGGCGAAAAAGCCACGAGCGACGCGCAGAUGCUUCAACAGGGUGUGAUGUGAUAAUGUUGGAACCGGCGUCAAGAUUUGCUGGAACUAGCGUCGAGAUUUGCUGGAACCGGCUUCUUGAUUUGCUGGAAUCGAUGUCGCGAGCGCAUCAUUUUGCUGCAACCAGCCGCAGAGAUUGCUAGAACCGGCGUCCAGAAUUGCUGGAACGGGCUCCUUCUUCGACGGCGACCAUGAAGACGGUGAGUGCGGGAGGCUAACACGUGCACGGGCGGUGCUUCGAUCUCCGACGAGGGUCGCCGGCGCUCGCCGCAGCCCCCAGCCCCCCCUCCCCCCUCUCUCUCUCUCCGACGCGUGGCGGCUGCUCACGAUGCGGGAGAAGAAAGAAUCGAGGAGGAAGAAGAAGGGGACGACGCGCGGGGAGAGGGGGCAUGGAAUCGUGUGGUCUAGGAUGCAGGCAUCGUGUGGCUGCCGUGCGACCGGCCCAAAUUUGGGCCGGUGCGCCGGCGCCUAUCUGUGCCCUUUCCUUUUCUUUUCUGUAGCAGCAGCGGUGGCAGCCUGUGCUGCGUACAUCAUGCUAGCACACACGGGCUCACGCUGAACUGCCUCU